rnacentral:rRNA from 1 species
CAGCAGCCGCGGGAAUACGUAGGUCCCGAGCGUUGUCCGGAUUUAUUGGGCGUAAAACGAGCGCAGGCGGUUAGAUAAGUCUGAAGUUAAAGGCUGUGGCUUAACCAUAGUACGCUUUGGAAACUGUUUAACUUGAGUGCAAGAGGGGAGAGUGGAAUUCCAUGUGUAGCGGUGAAAUGCGUAGAUAUUAGGAAGAACACCAGUGGCGAAGGCGACUUUCUGGACGAAAACUGACGCUGAGGCUCGAAAGCGUGGGGAGCAAACAGGAUUAGAUACCCGAGUAGUCCCUGUCUCUUAUACA